UACAGAGGGUGCAAGCGUUGUUCGGAAUUAUUGGGCGUAAAGGGCGCGUAGGCGGUGCGGUAAGUCUGUAGUGAAAUCUCUGGGCUCAACUCAGAGUCUGCUAUAGAAACUGCCGUGCUGGAGUGUGGGAGAGGUGAGUGGUAUUCCCGGUGUAGCGGUGAAAUGCGUAGAUAUCAGGAGGAACACCGAUGGCGAAGGCAGGUCUCUGGGCUGACACUGACGCUCAUGCACGAAAGCGUGGGGAGCAAACAGG
rnacentral:rRNA from 1 species